AGGGGACAAGGAGGAAAAAAAGAGAAGAAGAGAGGAAUAUGGAGACCUAUAGGGGACAAGGAGGAAAAAAAGAGAAGAAGAGAGGAAUAUGGAGACCUAUAGGGGACAAGGAGGAAAAAAAGAGAAGAAGAGAGGAAUAUGGAGACCUAUAGGGGACAAGGAGGAAAAAAAGAGAAGAAGAGAGGAAUAUGGAGACCUAUAGGGGACAAGGAGGAAAAAAAGAGAAGAAGAGAGGAAUAUGGAUGAGUGAGAAAGGAGGUCAAAAAGGAGAAAGAAGAGACCCCCCCACUCUCUUGAUUCGCUUGAGACAGAGAAGAGACGUGAAGAAAGAGGUAAGUAAAAGCUGUUCAUCUUGAGGUGAAACACCGGAAAAGGUCUCCUUGUGAAGUAAUGGUUAUUUUAAUGAAUAUAGCUUUGUCCUUCUACUAUUUCUAUAUAAUUCUAUUUUAAAUUAGUCUCGUAUGUAAAAUAAAUACUGUACAGUUACCUAUAUAUUUAUCAUGUUUUGAUGUGUUUCUGACCUGGAUUUGUUUGUAACACAUGCAUGUUUUUGUACGGUGUGUGUGUGUGUAUGUGUGUAUGUGUGUGUGUGUGUGUGUGUGUGUGUGUGUGUGUGUGUGUGUGUGUGUGUAUGUGUGUGUGUGUGUGUGUGUGUGUGUGUGUGUGUGUGUGUGUGUGUGUGUGUGUGUGUGUGUGUGUGUGUGUGUGUGUGUGUGUGUGUGUGUGUGUGUGUGUGUGUGUGUGUGUGUGUGUGUGUGUGUGUGUGUGUGUGUGUGUGUGUGUGUGUGUGUGUAUGUGUGUGUGUGUGUGUGUGUGUGUGUGUGUGUGUGUGUGUGUGUGUGUGUGUGUGUGUGUGUGUGCAUAACACACCUGUCCUUCUCUACUCCAG
ensembl:lncRNA